GGUGUCGGCGCGCGGUGACGUCACGGCGCCAGCCCUCCAGGUGCCCCUGCGCAGGCGAGCUGAGCGUGGAGGUCUGCUCUGAAGUACUCUAGAGGCUUCAGCUGCGCGAGAUAAUGGGCGCUCAGCUGAGCGGCGGUGACGGCGCGGCGGAGCCGGCUCAGCUCCAGCCUCAGAUCGCGGCGCCCGAGGGCCCUGAGCGGCCCCGGCCGGAGCCCGGUCCCUGGGGGCCACUGGACGACGUGCGCUUCCUCAUCGCCUGCACGUCUUGGUACUGACUGCGCCCUCCGAGUCACCGCUCACCUCCUGUUGUUCUCUCCGCCUCGCCUGGUCAGGCCGUUGUCACUGGCCCGGCCCGGUGUCUCUCUUAAACUACCCUCCUCCCACCCCCGCCCCGGCCCCCUGACUGGCGCCCGGGAGACGCUCUGAGAGUCGAGGAGGUCGUGGGGGACUGGAGGGAAUUCCCGGCUGGGCUGCCGCCACAUCCUCGCCACGGGGCACCGUCUCGCCUCUGUCCUCUCGCAGCACCCGGAAUUUGCUCGCUUCCCAGGCUGCACCCAUACCAGCUCAGACCUUCGAGUUCAUCCCCUCCCUGCAACCCCUGCAGUAUGGGUUCUGGGGCAGCCCUCCCUGUCACUGACUUCCAGAACCAGGCCAGGGCUCUUGGUAAGACCCCAAGGCUGCUGACCUGACCUCACCUUAUCUGCCCUUUAUUGCUGAGAACUGGGCUCUUUUGUUCCUGGUCAUGGCACUAUGUACUUGAGAGAAGACCUUGCCAUAGUGACCCUUCCCGUCCUCCUCGGGAAGGUUGCUCUGCCAGCCUGGAUCCCAGGGAGGCAUUAUGAGGCUGUAUUCCUGGGACCCAGUAACACUGGGCCUCUUGGGCCAGCCUUUUGGAGAGGGGGGAUAUUUGAUUGCUGGGCCGGCAGAUGAGAUGUAUGGGGCAACUCCUAGGCAUCCCAAAGCACCCUAUUUCCCUUCCCCCGGAAGCUUCUUAGGCCACUCUCAGAUCCUGAUCUUUGUUCCCACAUUCAAGUGAAAUGACACACUUUGUAUUUUUGUUUUAUUUAGAAAUGAUUUAAAAAACAUUGUACAAAGGCUGAUCAGUUUAAAAUGUGACUGACACUGAAAUGCUGUGAUGUUCCCCAGGCCAAGGAGAAGCUGGGCUCUGAGGACCCCAGUGCUUUGCCCCUCUGUCUGCUCUGUCCUGGGGCGAUGGACAAACAGAUGAUCUACCACAAGGCAAGAGAAUCCGAGAUUGGAAGCAUCCAGACUGAGCCCUCUCUGGGCCUGGACUUGCAUCCCUCACAUCUGCAGCCUGGGUUGCCUGCCUCCAUCUCCUGCUCUUUCUCAGCUGACCUUGGUAGUACCAGGAGCCAACGGGGAGCCUGGGGGGGGGGGCGCCUAGAGCUUUCAAGAAGUGGAGAGCACCAACCUGAGGAGUGGAGAGGGACCAGGAAGGGGAGAAGGGAAGCCAGGAAAAGAUGGAUAAAAGAGACACUUCUGAUCUCAUCUUGGACCCUAGAAGGGUCCACAGGUGGGGACCCAAGGCCCAACCAGCCCACUGGAUGGCCUGGGCAUGUAACAACCUCUCUGUGCUUCAUUUGAGGGCAUGGUGAGAGUUACCCUCAGCCUCCCAGGGCCUACACAAGUUUCAUGUGAGUGGACAGGUGUGAGCUAAUAAAGUGCUUUGCAAAGUAUAAAA